CCUACGGGUGGCAGCAGUCGAGAAUCAUUCACAAUGGGGGAAACCCUGAUGGUGCGACGCCGCGUGGGGGAAUGAAGGUCUUCGGAUUGUAAACCCCUGUCAUGUGGGAGCAAAUUAAAAAGAUAGUACCCCAAGUGGAAGAGACGGCUAACUCUGUGCCAGCAGCCGCGGUAAUACAGAGGUCUCAAGCGUUGUUCGGAAUAACUGGGCGUAAAGCGUGCGUAGGCUGUUUCGUAAGUCGUGUGUGAAAGGCGCGGGCUCAACCCGCGGACGGCACAUGAUACUGCGAGACUAGAGUAAUGGAGGGGGAACCGGAAUUCUCGGUGUAGCAGUGAAAUGCGUAGAUAUCGAGAGGAACACUCGUGGCGAAGGCGGGUUCCUGGACAUUAACUGACGCUGAGGCACGAAGGCCAGGGGAGCGAAAGGGAUUAGAUACCCGUGUAGUC
rnacentral:rRNA from 1 species